rnacentral:rRNA from 1 species
CCUACGGGCGGCUGCAGUGGGGAAUUUUGGACAAUGGGGGCAACCCUGAUCCAGCAAUGCCGCGUGUGUGAAGAAGGCCUUCGGGUUGUAAAGCACUUUUGUCCGGAAAGAAAACGCUCUGGUUAAUACCUGGGGCGGAUGACGGUACCGGAAGAAUAAGCACCGGCUAACUACGUGCCAGCAGCCGCGGUAAUACGUAGGGUGCGAGCGUUAAUCGGAAUUACUGGGCGUAAAUCGUGCGCAGGCGGUGAAAUCCCCGAGCUCAACUUGGGAAUUGCGCUUGUGACUACAAGGAUAGAGUAUGUCAGAGGGGGGUAGAAUUCCACGUGUAGCAGUGAAAUGCGUAGAGAUGUGGAGGAAUACCGAUGGCGAAGGCAGCCCCCUGGGACGUCACUGACGCUCAUGCACGAAAGCGUGGGGAGCAAACAGGAUUAGAUACCCGAGUAGUC